CCUACGGGAGGCAGCAGUGAGGAAUAUUGGUCAAUGGGCGCGAGCCUGAACCAGCCAAGUAGCGUGCAGGAUGACUGCCCUACGGGUUGUAACCUUCUUUUAUAAAGGAAUAAAGUGAGGCACGUGUGCCUUUUUGUAUGUACUUUAUGCUUAGGGAUCGGCUAACUCCGUUCCAGCAGCCGCGGUAAUACGGAGGAUCCGAGCGUUAUCCGGAUUUAGUGGGUUUAAAGGGAGCGUAGUUGGGUUGUUAAGUCAGUUGUGAAAGUUUGCGGCUCAACCGUAAAAUUGCAAUGGAUACUGGCAGCCGUGAGUACAGUUGAGGUAGGCGGAAUGCGUGGUGUAGCAGUGAAAUGCUGAGAUAUCACGAAGAACUCCGAUUGCGAAGGCAGCUUACUAAACUGCAACUGACAGUGAUGCUCGAAAGUGUGGGUAUCAAACAGGAUUAGAUACCCCGGUAGUC
rnacentral:rRNA from 1 species